GUUGAUAUAGAUUAAUUUAAAUUGCUGAAUUGUGGUUUCAGAGAUGUAUCUCUUAUACUUUCAACC
rnacentral:tRNA from 1 species